AUUGAACGCUGGCGGCAGGCCUAACACAUGCAAGUCGAGCGGCAGCGGGAAAGUAGCUUGCUACUUUUGCCGGCGAGCGGCGGACGGGUGAGUAAUGCCUGGGGAUCUGCCCAGUCGAGGGGGAUAACUACUGGAAACGGUAGCUAAUACCGCAUACGCCCUACGGGGGAAAGCAGGGGACCUUCGGGCCUUGCGCGAUUGGAUGAACCCAGGUGGGAUUAGCUAGUUGGUGAGGUAAUGGCUCACCAAGGCGACGAUCCCUAGCUGGUCUGAGAGGAUGAUCAGCCACACUGGAACUGAGACACGGUCCAGACUCCUACGGGAGGCAGCAGUGGGGAAUAUUGCACAAUGGGGGAAACCCUGAUGCAGCCAUGCCGCGUGUGUGAAGAAGGCCUUCGGGUUGUAAAGCACUUUCAGCGAGGAGGAAAGGUUGGUAGCUAAUAACUGCCAGCUGUGACGUUACUCGCAGAAGAAGCACCGGCUAACUCCGUGCCAGCAGCCGCGGUAAUAC
rnacentral:rRNA from 1 species